UGGCAGUGUCUGUUGACUAGGGCCCAAU
rnacentral:piRNA from 1 species